AACGUAGGAGACGAGCGUUAUCCGAAUUUACUGGGCGUAAAGCGCGUGUAGGCGGUUCGGUAAGUUGGAUGUGAAAUCUCCUGGCUCAACUGGGAGAGGACGUUCAAUACUGUCGGACUAGAGGGCGAUAGAGGGAGGUAGAAUUCCCGGUGUAGUGGUGAAAUGCGUAGAUAUCGGGAGGAAUACCAGUGGCGAAGGCGGCCUCCUGGAUCGUACCUGACGCUCAGACGCGAAAGCUAGGGGAGCAAACGGG
rnacentral:rRNA from 1 species